AUCACAAUGCAAUAACCUCACAUAUGACAAAGACUUCAGCGGUGGAGCUAAGUUUUUGAAGUUGGUGGUGGGUUACUAAUGACCCACCUUAACUCUACCUCUUUCAUCAACAUCAUCAAAACUUCCUCAUCAUCUCCUUCUUACUACUCUACAAUUUUGUUCUUCAUAAAAUGACGAAAAAGAAAAGGAAGAAACAAAACAGUGGUCAGUGGUGGAUCUUGAUAAUUUGGUACGAGGGGACUUGGAAAAUUGGAGCUAGCAGGUAACUACAAAGAAGCUAGAGGGUAGUCCUCCGGUCGGAACUCUAGAGAACUGCUUCAGAAAAAUGGAGCUAAAACAGCAUUUCAAUGGACAGUCGAGCUGAGUGGGUAACACGUAGAAUUCCAGAGUGAUUCAGAAACUAUUAUAAAGCUGCUAAUUGAUAUGUAUGCCAAAGCAAAGGAAGAAAGAUUCCAAAAUAGUUCUUAUUUUGAAAACCAGCACUACAAACUUUUAAAUUUCCUAGGUCAUGUCUUUGAAAACUAGCACUACAGGAGAACUGCUAGAGCAAAUGGAGCUGAAGCAGCAUUUUAAUGGGCAGUCAAUCGAGCUGAGUGGGAAACACGUCAAAUUCCGGAGUGAUUCUGAAGCUAUCCUAAAGCUGCUCAUUGAUAUGUAUGCCAAAAGAAAGAUUCCAAAAUAGUUGAUAUUUUGAAAACCAACACUACAAAAUUUUAAAUUCCAA